GAGAAAAAAACCAAAAAAACUCCAACUUUGGCUUAAAGGAGCUUGUGCAUAAAGACAUUGUCUUAUUCUUUUUUUGUGUGCGUGGUGAGUUUGCGUGUUUAUAUCUAGGUUGGGGGAUUUCCAGUCGUUUUCAUAUGGCAGCUACAGAUGGCAGACAGAAAUCUCUGAGCUGUGUGACUGUCCUAAUCCACCUGUCAUUUCUUCAUCCCUUUCAUCAUCCUCUUCUCCACCCUGCAUUUAAAGCUUUAGGUUGUUGUUUUUUUUUCCACCCAUUUCUUUCUUUUUUUUCCCCUUUUUUUCCUUUAACACCUCCCCCCCUUAUGCAGUCCCGGGACAUUUUAGGUCAUCACAUUUCUAUUCUUCAUCCACGCUGGAUUGUUUUACAGGAAACCAAUCAAGAAGUGGGUCAUUAUGUUCAAGAAAAGACCAACUCAGCGUUGUCCAACUUAAAACGAGCCAGUGAAGAGGCUCCAAAUGAAUCCACUUGACUGAAUGGUCUUUCCUUAUUUUUCUCUCCGUCUCUCUGUCUCUCUCUCUCUCUCUCUUGCUACUCCUCCUCCCUUACCUCUCUGGUAUUAUGUGUAGGCAGUUGCCAUGGCGACAGGACAUACAAACAGUGUGGCGGUAGACAGGAAGUGCUGUGGAACCACAAUGGCGUCACUGCGGCUCUGCACUCGCUCUCCACUCGCUCGCCUCUUAUCCCCAGCUUGCUUGCAUGCUAUUAUCCUUAGCAAGCUGAACGAAGACCACAUUGCUGUCUCUUUUUCUCUUCUUUCUCAACAUUAUUAGCAUUGCUUUUUCAGCUGUCUCUCGCUCUCUUUUUUUUUUGUCAGCAUUGCACCACAUUAGUGGCGCUGGUGUUUGGAAAAUUGCUGUCUGAUCUGCGGUGUCUGGAAUGUUGGGUGUUAGGUUGAUGAGCUGAAAGGCUGUCGAACUGUUUUUGAGCUUUGGCUCGUCUUUAAUGCCGGGACAAAAAUGCACAUAAACAUACUGAUGUGUUUUGGGAUUUUACAGUAACCUUUACAACACAUCCACAGCUAUUAAAAGAAUGCCAGGGUGGUGCAUUUGUAGCUUUGUUCUCGAUGAAGUGAGUCAAAAAGGGGCUAUGUCAGAGACGGACAGAGCUGGGAAUAAACGGGAAUGUGUGUGGUCCCUGUUGCAGACUCUUACAUCAGACUGGCAUUUGUGUACAGUGCACAUCUCUCCUGGUCUCUUUCUGUCUUUUUACAAAUCCCAUCCCUAAAUAUACUCCUCUGGAAAAACCCCUCGAGAAGAUACCGCCCUCUUCCACGCAACAUGCUAAAAAUAUCCACCAAGACCACCUUUCCAGCCCCCUUCUCGGUGUGGUUUUCCGUCAGACCAGACUCCUGUCGUUUUGAUUGCUGACCCUCUCAUUUGUUCCUUUCUAGCACUCAACACCAGUUCAUUAUCUCACACUAUCCCAAACUGUCUUGUGUGUUUAGCCCCUGCUUUGAACUCCCCCCAUCUGGCCUCGAUCUGUCUGAUAGAGGUGCCCCCUGCUGUCCCCAGAGGCUUCUUGCUCUUUCUGCUGACAUAAACAACUACUCAUCCGCACCGCCCAUGCAUCCAUCCAGGCAGCAGAGCAGACUUCCAGCUAAACCAGUCCGUUGACCUUCAGGCCAGCCAGAUGUUAAAACAGGGUCUGUCUAGGGGAGAAACCUGGUGAACAGAUGCGUUCCCAGAAAACAAAAACAGAAAACGGGAGGAUCUUCCUCAUGUCGAGACAAUGAAAUGUUCACAUUCGGAUGACGUUACAGUUGUCCGUACAGGUUGGACUUGUUUUAACAGAUGGUCCUUACAAUUGUUGGAUUUCAGUCAUGGUGAGUUUCUACAGCGUGACGCAGCGAAGCAGCACCGGACCAUGACACCGCCACCUCCAUCAUGGCUGACAUGAGGAAAUGGUAGAAGGAGGCUCUGCAAAGCAUGUCCUGAGAGGGGAAUGUAACCGGUAACUGUGGGAUAUAAAAGUGAAGCUAUAUAAAAAAAAAGCAAAUAUAUUAAAAAGCUCUUUGAGUGAACACUUUUUUUUGCUACUUUUCUUUUUAUUG